rnacentral:rRNA from 1 species
UACGGAGGGGCCUAGCGUUGUUCGGAAUUACUGGGCGUAAAGCGCACGUAGGUGGAGUCGUAAGUCAGGUGUGAAAUCCCCGGGCUCAACCUGGGAACUGCAUUCGAGACUGCAUUGCUGGAGUACGGAAGAGGAGGGCGGAAUUCCCGGUGUAGAGGUGAAAUGCGUAGAUAUCGGGAGGAACAUCAGUGGCGAAGGCGGCCCGCUGGUCCAGUACUGACGCUCAAGUGCAAAAGCGUGGGGAGCAAACAGG